AGAAGAUGCUAAAUUAAUAAAAGUGGAUAAAGAUGUAAUUUUAAUGGAAUUAAAUAUAAUUGUUGAUACGUGUACGAAGAUAGUGGAAAGAGUAACAAAUAAUAAUACGUGUGGUAUAGAUGUAGGAGGUGUGAAAUUAGAAUCAGAUGUUACUACUACUAUUUUGGCAGAUACUGUUGUAGGUGUAGAUGAGGAAGUUGAUGAUAGUGAGGUUAUUGGUGAGAGUAACAAUGUAGGUGUGAAUGACAAUGCUGAUGGUGGUGGUGAUGAUGAUGGUAGUGAUGGUGGUGAUGGUGGUGAUGGUGAUAGUAAUAAUAUUAUUUCUUUUAAUCAGAAUAUGGUAAAAGUAAAAGCUUCAGCGAACAUGUCUGGAUCGAGUUUGUCAAUGUGUAUAAGUAACAAUGAUAACACUGAUUAUUUAAAAGGAGAAGAUGAGAUACUGAAAGUGGACGACACUAUUAGUAGUAGUAGCAUUGAUGGUGGUGAUAAAACAUAUGUAUAUAAAAAGGAACAAGCUAAAAGUGAGGUUAUUAAAAAUGAAAAAGUAAAAGACGAAGUGGAAGAAAUGUAUAAGAAAGAACUUUGUGAAAAGGAAGAGAUGGACAUUUCUUUUGAUAAUACACAGGAUAAUGUCGGUGAUACUAAAAAAGAACUACAAAGUAGUAACAACAGUUGUAAUUUCAACAGCAGCGGUAUUAAAGGUGUUGUUUUUUCGAAAAGUGUAAAAAAUGACAUGACUUUGUCAGGUAAAAAAGUAGUAAAUGAUAGUAAUACUAGUUUAAAAGAUGAACUAAGUACUAAUGAUGAAUUAAGUACUAAAGACGAGCUUAGCACAAAGGAUGAGUUAAGUACUAAAGAUGAGACCAAUACAAAAGACGAACCAAAUGACACUACAACAGAAAUAGAAACAGAUAAUGCUAACAAAAUGAACAAAAUAAGUAUCAAAGAAAAUGAUGAAAACUCAAACGAUGAGGAGGCUUUCAACGUGAGUUUGGGUGGAAAAUCAAAAGGGAACAAUGGUGACGGUGGUGCCAUUUCUGGUGAAAAAGUACGAAAAGUAGAUGCAUAUACUUUUUACAUAGGAACAAAUAAAGCUAAUGCGUUAGACUUGUGUCAAAGAUUACAUUUGUUUAAAUGUUUACAUGAUUUUGUUAAAGAACAAAAUAAUAAUAAUGAGUAUAGUUUUA
rnacentral:lncRNA from 1 species